rnacentral:rRNA from 1 species
CAUGAGCACCGCAUGGAGCUCAUGCCAAAUAUCCUUUCGGGGAUAGCGCAGGGAUGGACCUAUGGCGCAUUAGCUUGUUGGCGGGGCAACGGCCCACCAAGGCAACGAUGCGUAGCCGGCCUGAGAGGGCGGACGGCCACAUUGGGACUGAGACACGGCCCAGACUCCUACGGGAGGCAGCAGUAGGGAAUUUUCGGCAAUGGGGGAAACCCUGACCGAGCAACGCCGCGUGAGCGAAGAAGGCCUUCGGGUCGUAAAGCUCUGUUGUAAAGGAAGAACGGCGCAUACAGGAAAUGGUAUGCGAGUGACGGUACUUUACCAGAAAGCCACGGCUAACUACGUGCCAGCAGCCGCGGUAAUACGUAGGUGGCGAGCGUUAUCCGGAAUCAUUGGGCGUAAAGAGGGAGCAGGCGGCCGCAAGGGUCUGUGGUGAAAGACCGAAGCUAAACUUCGGUAAGCCAUGGAAACCGGGCGGCUAGAGUGCGGAAGAGGAUCGUGGAAUUCCAUGUGUAGCGGUGAAAUGCGUAGAUAUAUGGAGGAACACCAGUGGCGAAGGCGACGGUCUGGGCCGCAACUGACGCUCAUUCCCGAAAGCGUGGGGAGCAAAUAGGAUUAGAUACCCUAGUAGUCCACGCCGUAA